rnacentral:tRNA from 1 species
GCGGAAGUGGCGCAAUGGUAGCGCAUCUGCUUCCCAAGCAGAGGGCUGCGGGUUCGAGUCCCGUCUUCCGCUCCA